GCUGGGCAUGGUGGCGCGUGCCUGUAAUCCCAGCUACUCAGGAGGCUGAGGCAGGAGAAUUGCCUGAACCCAGGAGGUGGAGGUUGCGGUGAGCUGAGAUCGCGCCAUCGCACUCCAGCCUGGGUAACAAGAGUGAAACUCUGUCUCACUCUGUUGCCCAGAAUAGAGUGCAGUAGCAUAAUCUCAGCUCACUGCAACCUCCACCUUCCGGGUUCAAGCAAUUCUCCUGCCUCAG
ensembl:misc_RNA Metazoa_SRP Metazoan signal recognition particle RNA